rnacentral:rRNA from 1 species
UACGAAGGGGGCUAGCGUUGCUCGGAAUCACUGGGCGUAAAGGGUGCGUAGGCGGGUCUUUUAAGUCAGGGGUGAAAUCCUGGAGCUCAACUCCAGAACUGCCUUUGAUACUGAAGAUCUUGAGUUCGGGAGAGGUGAGUGGAACUGCGAGUGUAGAGGUGAAAUUCGUAGAUAUUCGCAAGAACACCAGUGGCGAAGGCGGCUCACUGGCCCGAUACUGACGCUGAGGCACGAAAGCGUGGGAAGCAAACAGGG